rnacentral:rRNA from 1 species
ACGAACGCUGGCGGCGUGCCUCAUACAUGCAAGUCGAACGAGAGCGACCGGUGCUUGCACUGGUCAAUCUAGUGGCGAACGGGUGAGUAACACGUGGGUAACCUGCCCAUCAGAGGGGGAUAACAUCCGGAAACGGAUGCUAAAACCGCAUAGGUCUUCGAGCCGCAUGGCUUGAAGAGGAAAAGAGGCGCAAGCUUCUGCUGAUGGAUGGACCCGCGGUGCAUUAGCUAGUUGGUGAGGUAACGGCUCACCAAGGCCGUGAUGCAUAGCCGACCUGAGAGGGUGAUCGGCCACAUUGGGACUGAGACACGGCCCAAACUCCUACGGGAGGCAGCAGUAGGGAAUCUUCCGCAAUGGACGCAAGUCUGACGGAGCAACGCCGCGUGAGUGAAGAAGGUUUUCGGAUCGUAAAACUCUGUUGUUAGAGAAGAACAAGUGCUAGAGUAACUGUUAGCGCCUUGACGGUAUCUAACCAGAAAGCCACGGCUAACUACGUG